UAAAUCACAAUGCGGGACUAUACGUCUUGCAAUUGGAUUGAGAACAAUGUACAACUCUUAUCGAUAAGCCAUUGGAGGGCAAGUCUGGUGCCAGCAGCCGCGGUAAUUCCAGCUCCAAUAGCGUAUAUUAACGUUGUUGCAGUUAAAAAGCUCGUAGUUGAAGUGUGGGUGAUCGCUGUUGUGAGACUUCGGUCUCUCGACAGUAAGUCACCCCCUUCCAGUAUCCAGUAGUGGGUAUUCAGUUACUUACUAUUGUGUGUUGGUCCUUUACUGUGAGAAAAUUAGAGUGUUCAAAGCAGGCGUUUGCUUGAAUAGAUUAGCAUGGAAUAAUAAUUGAAGGCUUUCGUGUUCGAUUUGAUUGGUUUGUUCAUGGAAGCAAGGUUAAAAGGAACAGUUGGGGGUAUUCAUAUUCACUAGUUAGAGGUGAAAUUCUCG
rnacentral:rRNA from 1 species